rnacentral:rRNA from 1 species
UACGUAGGGGGCAAGCGUUGUCCGGAAUCAUUGGGCGUAAAGAGCGCGUAGGCGGCCCUGUAAGUCCGCUGUGAAAGUCAAGGGCUCAACCCUUGGAUGCCGGUGGAUACUGCAGGGCUAGAGUCCGGAAGAGGCGAAUGGAAUUCCUGGUGUAGCGGUGAAAUGCGCAGAUAUCAGGAGGAACACCUGCGGUGUAGACGGCUUACUGGACCAUAACUGACGCUGAGGCACGAAAGCGUGGGUAGCAAACAGG